rnacentral:rRNA from 1 species
GGCGGCGUGCCUAACACAUGCAAGUCGAACGAGAUGCGUAUCGGAAAGCUUCGGCCGGAAGAUACGUUAUCUAGUGGCGGACGGGUGAGUAACACGUGGGUAACCUGCCUUAUGGAGGGGGAUAACAGAGAGAAAUCACUGCUAAUACCGCAUAAGCACACAGUACCGCAUGGUACAGAGUGAAAAGAUUUAUCGCCAUAAGAUGGACCCGCGUCUGAUUAGCCAGUUGGCAGGGUAAAAGCCUACCAAAGCAACGAUCAGUAGCCGAUCUGAGAGGAUGACCGGCCACAUUGGGACUGAGACACGGCCCAAACUCCUACGGGAGGCAGCAGUGGGGAAUAUUUGCACAAUGGGGGAAACCCUGAUGCAGCGACGCCGCGUGAGUGAAGAAGUAUUUCGGUAUGUAAAGCUCUAUCAGCAGGGAAGA